GGUGUAGGCGGCUUGGUAAGUGUUCUGUGAAAUCCCACGGCUCAACCGUGGAACUGCAGGGCAAACUACCCGGCUUGAGGUUGGUAGAGGUGCCUGGAACUCUAGGUGGAGCGGUGAAAUGCGUAGAUAUCUAGAGGAAUGCCAGUGGCGAAAGCGGGGCACUGGGCCGAUUCUGACGCUGAGACCCGAAAGCGUGGGGAGCAAACAGGAUUAGAUACCCUGGUAGUCC
rnacentral:rRNA from 1 species